rnacentral:piRNA from 1 species
UAGAAAAUGCCCUAAGAAGGAUUUCC